UAGCUAGUUGGUAGGGUAAAGGCCUACCAAGGCGACGAUCGGUAGCUGGUCUGAGAGGAUGGCCAGCCACACUGGGACUGAGACACGGCCCAGACUCCUACGGAAGGCAGCAGUGGGGAAUAUUGGACAAUGGGGGCAACCCUGAUCCAGCAAUGCCGCGUGUGUGAAGAAGGCCUGAGGGUUGUAAAGCACUUUCAGUGGGGAGGAGGAUUGAUUGGUUAAGAGCUGAUUGAUUGGACGUUACCUACAGAAGAAGCACCGGCUAACUCCGUGCCAGCAGCCGCGGUAAUACGGAGGGUGCGAGCGUUAAUCGGAAUUACUGGGCGUAAAGGGUGCGUAGGUGGUUAGAUAAGUUAGCUGUGAAAUCCCCGGGCUCAACCUGGGCAGGUCAGCUAAGACUGUUUGACUCGAGUAUGGGAGAGGGUAGUGGAAUUUCCGGUGUAGCGGUGAAAUGCGUAGAGAUCGGAAGGAACACCAGUGGCGAAGGCGGCUACCUGGCCUAAUACUGACACUGAGGCACGAAAGCGUGGGGAGCAAACAGGAUUAGAUACCCUGGUAGUCCACGCCGUAAACGAUGUCAACUAGUUGUUGGCCUUAUGAAUGAGGUUAGUGACGA
rnacentral:rRNA from 1 species